GAGGGUAUAGCUCAGUGGUAGAGCACAUGCUUAGCAUGCACAAAGUCCUGGGUUUGAUCCCCAGUACCUGCA
rnacentral:tRNA from 1 species